GCAUAAUCACUUGCCCAUUAAUUGUGGGCUAGAAUGAAUGGAAAAACGAAGUAAUAGCUGUCUCUAGUAAUUAAAUAAAAACUAAUAUCCCAGUGAAGAAGCUGAGAUAAAAUCACAGGACAAGAAGACCCUAUAGAGCUUUAUUUUUAAUACAUGACCUAUGUGUAAAAAAAUUCAGUUGGGGCGACUAAGGAAAAAAUCAUCCUAAAAUUAAUAGACAUACACGUCAAUUCAAAGAUCCUAAAAAUAGAUCAAAGAAAUUAGCUACCUUAGGGAUAACAGGCUAAUCCUCCUGGAAAGUCCAAAUUUAUAGGAGGG
rnacentral:rRNA from 1 species